rnacentral:rRNA from 1 species
UACGUAGGGUGCAAGCGUUGUCCGGAAUUAUUGGGCGUAAAGAGCUCGUAGGCGGUUUGUUGCGUCGGCUGUGAAAUCCCGAGGCUCAACCUCGGGUCUGCAGUCGAUACGAGCAAACUAGAGUGUUGCAGGGGAGACUGGAAUUCCUGGUGUAGCGGUGAAAUGCGCAGAUAUCAGGAGGAACACCGGUGGCGAAGGCGGCGUUCUGGACUGCAACUGACACUGAUGAACGAAAGCCAGGGGAGCAAACGGG